rnacentral:rRNA from 1 species
UAGGGAAUCUUCCGCAAUGGGCGAAAGCCUGACGGAGCAACGCCGCGUGAGUGAUGAAGGUUUUCGGAUCGUAACACUCUGUUAUUAGGGAAGAACAAAUGUGUAAGUAACUAUGCACGUCUUGACGGUACCUAACCAGAAAGCCACGGCUAACUACGUCCCAGCAGCCGCGGUAAUACGUAGGUGGCAAGCGUUAUCCGGAAUUAUUUGGCGUAAAGCGCGCGUAGGCGGUUUUUUAAGUCUGAUGUGAAAGCCCACGGCUCAACCGUGGAGGGUCGUUGGAAACUGGAAAACUCAAGUGCAGAAGAGGAAAGUGGAAUUCCAUGUGUAGCGGUGAAAUACGCAGAGAUAUGGGGGAACACCAGUGGCGAAGGCGACUUUCUGGUCUGUAACUGACGCUGAUGUGCGAGAGCGUGGGGAUCAAACAGG